rnacentral:rRNA from 1 species
GGUCAAGUUAUUAAGGGUGCAGGGCGGAUGCCUUGGCACUAGGAGCCGAUGAAGGACGUGAUAAGCUGCGAUAAGCUUCGGGGAGUUGCACGUAAACUUUGAUCCGAAGAUUUCCGAAUGAGGAAACUCACUUAGAGUAAUGUCUAAGUAUCAUUAAGUGAAUACAUAGCUUAAUGAGGGGAACUCAGGGAACUGAAACAUCUAAGUACCUGAAGGAAGAGAAAGAAAUUCGAUUCCGUAAGUAGCGGCGAGCGAACGCGGAUUAGCCCAAACCAAUAAAGUUUUCUUUAUUGGGGUUGCGGACAUAUCAUAACGAAGAGGUAUCGUAAUUGAAGAGGUUUGGAAAGACCCACCACAGAAGGUAAUAGUCCUGUAUGUUAAACGAGAAGACUUUAGAUAUGAUCCAGAGUACCACGGGACACGUGAAACCCUGUGGGAAGCAGGAGGGACCACCCUCCAAGGCUAAAUACUACCUAGUGACCGAUAGCGU